rnacentral:rRNA from 1 species
GAUUCCCCUAGUAACUGCGAGUGAAGCGGGAAAAGCUCAAAUUUAAAAUCUGGCGGUCUUUGACCGUCCGAGUUGUAAUCUGGAGAAGUGCUUUCUGCGCCGGACCGUGUACAAGUCUCUUGGAAUAGAGCGUCAUAGAGGGUGAGAAUCCCGUCUUUGACACGGACUACCGGUGCUUUGUGAUGUGCUUUCAAAGAGUCGAGUUGUUUGGGAAUGCAGCUCAAAAUGGGUGGUAAAUUCCAUCUAAAGCUAAAUAUUGGCGAGAGACCGAUAGCGAACAAGUACCGUGAGGGAAAGAUGAAAAGCACUUUGGAAAGAGAGUUAAACAGUACGUGAAAUUGCUGAAAGGGAAACACUUGAAGUCAGUCGCGUUGUUCAGAACUCAGCCUGGCCUCGGCCUGGUGCGUUUUCUGAACGACGGGCCAGCAUCAAUUUUGACUGUUGGAUAAAGGCCAGGGAAAUGUGGCUCCUUUGGGAGUGUUAUAGUCUCUGGUUGCAUACAAUGGUUGGGAUUGAGGAACUCAGCAUGCCUUUAUGGUCGGGGUUCGCCCACGUUCAUGCUUAGGAUGC